rnacentral:lncRNA from 1 species
GCUGGUGAAAUAGUCUUGCUUGGAACCUGGCUACCAUGCCAAGAGGAAGCCCAGCCCCUUCAUGUUUGAAAGAGGGGAUUGAAUGGAAUUGCUGUGCCCAAGUCUCAGGCUGGAGAGGCGCUUGGAGACGACUCUUCACUACAAGGUCCUGUUUGACCCACCUUCUUUAAUUUACAGAAGAGGAAACCAAGAGCAAGAGGGGAAGUGCCUUGCCCACAGUUCCACGGUUAUCUUUCCCUACAGCGUAACCCAGUGCAGACACCUCUUCAAUCACAGGCUCACUGAAGCUGUGUCUGGGGAAGGGCCACUCCACCUCCUCUAUCUUCCCUGCACUCACUUGUCUGGCCAGCUGCCCUGGGUCCUGCCUCCCUGC